rnacentral:rRNA from 1 species
AACGAACGCUGGCGGCAGGCCUAACACAUGCAAGUCGAACGCCGUAGCAAUACGGAGUGGCAGACGGGUGAGUAACACGUGGGAACGUACCCUUCGGUUCGGGAUAACUCAGGGAAACUUGAGCUAAUACCGGAUACGUCCGAGAGGAGAAAGAUUUAUCGCCGAGGGAUCGGCCCGCGUCUGAUUAGCUUGUUGGUGAGGUAACGGCUCACCAAGGCGACGAUCAGUAGCUGGUCGAGAGGAUGAUCAGCCACAUUGGGACUGAGACACGGCCCAAACUCCUACGGGAGGCAGCAGUGGGGAAUAUUGGACAAUGGGCGCAAGCCUGAUCCAGCCAUGCCGCGUGAGUGAUGAAGGCCCUAGGGUUGUAAAGCUCUUUUACCCGGGAAGAUAAUGACUGUACCGGGAGAAUAAGCCCCGGCUAACUUCGUGCCAGCCGCCGCUGUAAC